UACGAAGGGGGCUAGCGUUGUUCGGAAUUACUGGGCGUAAAGCGCACGUAGGCGGAUAUUUAAGUCAGGGGUGAAAUCCCAGAGCUCAACUCUGGAACUGCCUUUGAUACUGGGUAUCUCGAGUAUGGAAGAGGUAAGUGGAAUUCCGAGUGUAGAGGUGAAAUUCGUAGAUAUUCGGAGGAACACCAGUGGCGAAGGCGGCUUACUGGUCCAUUACUGACGCUGGAGGUGCGAAAGCGUGGGGAGCAAACAGG
rnacentral:rRNA from 1 species